GACGAACGCUGGCGGCGUGCUUAACACAUGCAAGUCGAACGGAAAGGCCCUGCUGUUUUGUGGUGCUCGAGUGGCGAACGGGUGAGUAACACGUGAGUAACCUGCCCUGGACUUUGGGAUAACGUCAGGAAACUGGGGCUAAUACCGGAUAGGAGCUCCUGCUGCAUGGUGGGGGUUGGAAAGUUUCGGCGGUUGGGGAUGGACUCGCGGCUUAUCAGCUUGUUGGCGGGGUAGUUGCUUACCAAGGCUGUGACGGGUAGCCGGCUUGAGAGGGUGACCGGCCACAUUGGCAAUGAGAUACGGCACAGGGUAAUACGGGAGGCAGCAGUGGGGAAUAUUGCACAAUGGGCGGAUGCGUGAUGCAGCAACGCCGCGUGCGGGAUGACGGUCUUAGGGUUGAAACCCGCUUUCGCCUGAGACGAAGCGUGAGAGAGGGUAUUGAGUAAAGAAGCACCGGAGCAAUAUG
rnacentral:rRNA from 1 species